AGAGCGAACGCUGGCGGCAGGCCUAACACAUGCAAGUCGAGCGCCCGUAGCAAUACGGGAGCGGCAGACGGGAUAGUAACACGUGGGAACGCGCCCUUCGGUUCGGAAUAACUCAGGGAAACUUGAGCUAAUACCGGAUACGCCCUUACGGGGAAAGAUUUAUUGCCGAAGGAACGGCCCGCGUCCGAUUAGCUAGUUGGUGAGGUAAUGGCUCACCAAGGCGACGAUCGGUAGCUGGUCUGAGAGGAUGACCAGCAUCACUGGGACUGAGACACGGCCCAGACUCCUACGGGAGGCAGCAGUGGGGAAUAUUGGACAAUGGGCGCAAGCCUGAUCCAGCCAUGCCGCGUGGAUGAUGAAGGCCUUAGGGUUGUAAAGUUCCUUUUAACGGGGAAGAUAAUGACGGUACCCGUAGAAUAAGCCCGGCUAACUUCGUGCCAGCAGCCG
rnacentral:rRNA from 1 species